rnacentral:rRNA from 1 species
AACGAACGCUGGCGGCAGGCCUAACACAUGCAAGUCGAGCGCCCCCUUUGGGUGGAGCGGCGGACGGGUUAGUAACGCGUGGGAAUAUGCCCAGAUCUGCGGAAUAGCCUUUGGAAACGAAGAGUAAUACCGCAUACGCCCCCCCAAUCAAAUGUCAUAUUUGAUUUGAAUUAUUCGAUCUUAUUCAAAUGCGUUUGGCAUUUGAUGGGGGGGGAAAGAUUUAUCGGAUUUGGAUUAGCCCGCGUUGGAUUAGGUUGUUGGUGGGGUAAUGGCCUACCAAGCCUACGAUCCAUAGCUGGUUUGAGAGGAUGAUCAGCAACACUGGGACUGAGACACGGCCCAGACUCCUACGGGAGGCAGCAGUGGGGAAUCUUAGACAAUGGGGGCAACCCUGAUCUAGCCAUGCCGCGUGAGUGAAGAAGGCCCUAGGGUCGUAAAGCUCUUUCGCCUGUGAUGAUAAUGACAGUAGCAGGUAAAGAAACCCCGGCUAACUCCGUGCCAGCCGCCGCCGUAACAC